rnacentral:rRNA from 1 species
CUGCUGCCUUCCGUAGGAGUUUGGGCCGUGUCUCAGUCCCAAUGUGGCCGGUCGCCCUCUCAGGUCGGCUACUGAUCGUCGGCUUGGUAGGCUUCUACCCCACCAACUACCUAAUCAGACGCGGGCCCAUCUUACACCACCUCAGUUUUUACCACUGUACCAUGCGGUACCGUGGUCUUAUGCGGUAUUAGCAAUCAUUUCUAAUUGUUAUCCCCCUGUGUAAGGCAGGUUGCCCACGCGUUACUCACCCGUCCGCCGCUAAGUCA